rnacentral:rRNA from 1 species
CAUGCAAGUCGAACGAAGUAGCAAUACUUAGUGGCAGACGGGUGAGUAACAUGUGGGUAUCUACCCUUUGGCCUGGAAUAACACGAGGAAACUUGUGCUAAUACCGGAUAAGUCUUUACGGAGAAAGCUUUAUGCACCAUUGGAUGAGCCCGCACUUGAUUAGUUUGUUGGUAGGGUAAUGGCCUACCAAGACUAUGAUCAAUAGCUGAUUUGAGAGGAUGAUCAGCCACAUUGGGACUGAGACACGGCCCAAACUCCUACGGGAGGCAGCAGUGGGGAAUCUUGCACAAUGGAGGAAACUCUGAUGCAGCGAUGCCGCGUGAGUGAAGAAGGCCUUUGGGUUGUAAAGCUCUUUCGUCGGGGAAGAAAACGACUGUACCCGAAUAAGAAGGUCCGGCUAACUUCGUGCCAGCAGCCGCGGUAAUACGAAGGGACCUAGCGUAGUUCGGAAUUACUGGGCUUAAAGAGUUCGUAGGUGGUUGAAAAAGUUGGUGGUGAAAUCCCAGAGCUUAACUCUGGAACUGCCAUCAAAACUUUUCAGCUAGAGUAUGAUAGAGGAAAGCAGAAUUUCUAGUGUAGAGGUGAAAUUCGUAGAUAUUAGAAAGAAUACCAAUUGCGAAGGCAGCUUUCUGGAUCAUUACUGACACUGAGGAACGAAAGCAUGGGUAGCGAAGAGGAUUAGAUACCCUCGUAGUCCAUGCCGUAAACGAUGUGUGUUAGACGUUGGAAAUUUAUUUUCGGUGUCGCAGGGAAACCGAUAA